CGUGGAGGAUGAAGGUCCUCUGGAUUGUAAACUUCUUUUAUAUGGGACGAAAAAGGGCUUUUCUAAGUCAACUGACGGUACCAUAUGAAUAAGCACCGGCUAACUCCGUGCCAGCAGCCGCGGUAAUACGGAGGGUGCAAGCGUUAUCCGGAUUCACUGGGUUUAAAGGGUGCGUAGGUGGGUUGGUAAGUCAGUGGUGAAAUCCCCGAGCUUAACUGGGAACUGCCAUUGAUACUAUUAAUCUUGAAUACCGUGGAGGUCAGCGGAAUAUGUCAUGUAGCGGUGAAAUGCUUAGAUAUGACAUAGAACACCAAUUGCGAAGGCAGCUGGCUACACGAAUAUUGACACUGAGGCACGAAAGCGUGGGGAUCAAACAGGAUUAGAUACCCUGGUAGUCCACGCCCUAAACUAUGGAUACUCGACAUACGCGAUAAACUGUGUGUGUCUGAGCGAAAGCAUUAAGUAUCCCACCUGGGAAGUACGAUCGCAAGAUUG
rnacentral:rRNA from 1 species